UCCUGGUUUCCCAGGCAGUCUCACCAGAGUGCUUUACUUAAAAGUAGCAACUGGCGAUAGGAGUUGCGCUCGUUAGAGGACUUAACCGAACGUCUCACGACACGAGCUGACGACAGCCAUGCAGCACCUGUGCAAAAGUCUGAACCGAAAUCCAGAAAGCUGUGUUUCCACAGCGGUCUAAUGCAUGUCAAGCCUAGGUAAGGUUCCUCGCGUAGUGUCGAAUUAAACCACAUGUUCCACCGCUUGUGCGGACCCCCGUCAAUUCCUUUAAGUUUUAGUCUUGCGACCGUAAUCCCCAGGCGGAUCACUUAACGCGUUAGCUACGACACCAAUCCUGUAAAAACAGAACUGACGUCUAGUGAUCAUCGUUUACGGCGUGGACUAC
rnacentral:misc_RNA from 1 species